rnacentral:rRNA from 1 species
UCGCCUGUUUUUCAAAAACAUGGCCUCUUGUUAUUAUAUUUGAGGUCUGGCCUGCCCACUGAGUAAAAUUUAAACUUGAAGGGCCGCGGUAUUUUGACCGUGCAAAGGUAGCAUAAUCAUUAGUCUUUUAAUUGAAGGCUAGAAUGAAUGGUUGGACGAGGUAUUGACUGUCUCUGUUUAAUUGAUUAAUAGAAUUUAACUUUUGAGUGAAAAGGCUUAAAUGCUUUUGGAGGACGAGAAGACCCUAUAGAGCUUUAUAUAUAACUUAUUUAUAAUUUAUUUGGAUGUAUAUAAAUUAUAGGUUGUGAUAUAUUUUGUUGGGGUGACAGGAAGAUUAAAUUAACUCUUUUUAAUUUUGACCAUUUAUUUAUGAAUUUUUGAUCCAUUUUUAGUGAUUAUAAGACUAAGUUACCUUAGGGAUAACAGCGUAAUCUUUUUUGAGAGUUCUUAUCGACAAAAAGGGUUGCGACCUCGAUGUUGGAUUAAGGGUAAUUUUGGGUGUAGAUGUUCAAAAUUUAGGUCUGUUCGACCUUUAAAUCCUUACAUGAUCUGAGUUCAAACCGGAGA